CGAAGAAAACUUUGCAAUGUGCGAAAGCACGACAAGGUUAAUCCGAGUGGUUUCUGCUAAAGGAACCUUUUGUCAGUCCUAGAAACACUGAUGAAUAAGGGGUGGGCAAGUUCUGGUGUCAGCCGCCGCGGUAAAACCAGCACCUCAAGUGGUCAGGAUGAUUAUUGGGUCCUAAAAGCAUACCGUAGCCUGCUUUGUAAGUUUUCGGUUAAAUCCAUAUGCUCAACAUAUGGGCUGCCGGGAAUACUGCAAAGCUAGGGAGUGGGAGAGGUAGACGGUACUCGGUAGGAAGGGUAAAAUCCUUUGAUCUAUUGAUGACCACUGUGGCGAAGGCGGUCUACCAGAACACGUCCGACGGUGAGGGAU
rnacentral:rRNA from 2 species